GUUAUGCGGUCAAGCGACGAAGCGUGUGUGGUGGAUGCCUUGGCAGCCAGAGGCGAUGAAGGACGUUGUAGACUGCGAUAAGCUUCGGGGAGCCGUCAAACAGGCUUUGAUCCGGAGAUUUCCGAAUGGGGAAACCCGGCCCUUCGGGGUCAUUGCACAUUGAAUUCAUAGAUGUGCAAGGCGAACGCGGUGAACUGAAACAUCUAAGUAGCCGCAGGAAAAGAAAUCAACCGAGAUUCCCCAAGUAGUGGCGAGCGAAAGGGGAAUAGCCCUGAAGUGGUGCAGAAUUUAGCGGAACAGUCUGGGAAGGCUGACGAUAGAGGGUGACAGUCCCGUACGCGAAAAAUUCCGCAUCAUGAUAUCGAGUAGGUCGGGACACGUGAAAUCCUGACUGAAUAUGGGGGGACCAUCCUCCAAGGCUAAAUACUCCUGGCUGACCGAUAGUGAACGAGUACCGUGAGGGAAAGGUGAAAAGAACCCCGGUGAGGGGAGUGAAACAGAAUCUGAAACCGCAUACGUACAAGCGGUCGGAGCCUGGCGCAAGCCGGGUGACGGCGUACCUUUUGUAUAAUGGGUCAGCGAGUUAUUGCCGGUAGCAAGGUUAACCGUAUAGGGGAGCCGUAGGGAAACCGAGUCUGAACAGGGCGCUCAGUUGCUGGUGAUAGACCCGAAACCGGACGAUCUAGCCAUGGCCAGGCUGAAGGUUGAGUAACAUCAACUGGAGGGCCGCACCCACCUAUGUUGAAAAAUGGGGGGAUGAGCUGUGGCUAGGAGUGAAAGGCUAAUCAAGUCCGGAGAUAGCUGGUUCUCCUCGAAAGCUAUUUAGGUAGCGCCUCAUACAUGACUGCCGGGGGUAAAGCACUGUUUCGGCUAGGGGGUCAUCCCGACUUACCAAACCGAUGCAAACUCUGAAUACCGGCAAGUUCGAGUAUGGGAGACAGACGGCGGGUGCUAACGUCCGUCGUCGAAAGGGAAACAACCCAGACCGCCAGCUAAGGUCCCUAAUAUCAGUUAAGUGGGAAACGAUGUGGGAAGGCACAAACAGCUAGGAGGUUGGCUUAGAAGCAGCCAUCCUUUAAAGAAAGCGUAAUAGCUCACUAGUCGAGUCGGCCUGCGCGGAAGAUGUAACGGGGCUAAACUGAUAACCGAAGCUGCGGGUUCGCGAACACCCUCGGGUGAUUGCGGACGGUAGAGGAGCGUUCUGUAAGCGGGUGAAGCCAGGUCGGGAGGCCUGGUGGACGUAUCAGAAGUGCGAAUGCUGACAUGAGUAACGAUUAGGGGGGUGAAAAGCCCCCCCGCCGAAAGAUCGAGGUUUCCUGCCCAACGUUAAUCGGGGCAGGGUGAGUCGGCCCCUAAGGCGAGGGCGAAAGCCGUAGUCGAUGGGAAACCGGUUAAAAUUCCGGUACCCGGCUUUGCUGCGAUGGAGGGACGGAGUAGGCUAGACCGGCACGGUGUUGGUUAUCCGUGUUCAAGCGUGUAGGUAGGAAGCUUAGGGAAAUCCGGGCUUCCGUUAAUCUGAGGCGUGAUGACGAUCUUCCCGGGCAACCGGAAAGAGAAGUGGUUGAGGCCAUGCUUCCAGGAAAAUCUUCUAAGCACCAGGCAAAGUUGGACCGUACUUAAACCGACACAGGUGAUCAGGUAGAGGAUACCAAGGCGUUGAGAUAACUUGGGUGAAGGAACUAGGCAAAAUGGUACCGUAACUUCGGGAGAAGGUACGCUCCCUCCGGUGAUCGGACUUGCUCCGUAAGCCGAGGGGAGUCGCAGUGACCAGGUGGCUGCAACUGUUUAUUAAAAACACAGCACUCUGCAAACUCGAGAGAGGAAGUAUAGGGUGUGACGCCUGCCCGGUGCCGGAAGGUUAAUUGAUGGGGUUAGCGUAAGCGAAGCUCCUGAUCGAAGCCCCGGUAAACGGCGGCCGUAACUAUAACGGUCCUAAGGUAGCGAAAUUCCUUGUCGGGUAAGUUCCGACCUGCACGAAUGGCGUAAUGAUGGCCACACUGUCUCCACCCAAGGCUCAGUGAAAUUGAAGUUGCUGUUAAGAUGCAGUGUACCCGCGGCUAGACGGAAAGACCCCGUGAACCUUUACUAUAGCUUCACACUGGACUUUGACUGUACUUGUGUAGGAUAGGUGGGAGACUGUGAAAGCAUCGCGCCAGCGUUGCCGGAGUCAACCUUGAAAUACCACCCUGGUGCUGUUGAGGUUCUAACCCAGGUCCCUUGACGGGAUCGGGGACAGUGUGUGGUGGGUAGUUUGACUGGGGCGGUCUCCUCCUAAAGAGUAACGGAGGAGCACGAAGGUACCCUAAGGGCGGUUGGAAAUCGUCUGUAUUGUGUAAUGGCGUAAGGGUGCUUGACUGCGAGAGUGACGAUUCGAGCAGGAGCGAAAGCUGGUCAUAGUGAUCCGGUGGUUCUGUAUGGAAGGGCCAUCGCUCAACGGAUAAAAGGUACUCCGGGGAUAACAGGCUGAUACCGCCCAAGAGUUCACAUCGACGGCGGUGUUUGGCACCUCGAUGUCGGCUCAUCACAUCCUGGGGCUGAAGCGGGUCCCAAGGGUAUGGCUGUUCGCCAUUUAAAGUGGUACGCGAGCUGGGUUUAGAACGUCGUGAGACAGUUCGGUCCCUAUCUGCCGUGGGCGCAGGAGAUUUGCGAAGAGUUGCCCCUAGUACGAGAGGACCGGGGUGAACGAACCGCUGGUGUUCGGGUUGUCUCGCCAGAGGCAUUGCCCGGUAGCUAUGUUCGGACGGGAUAACCGCUGAAGGCAUCUAAGCGGGAAGCCUCCUUCAAGACUAGAUCUCCCUGAGAGCCCAAGCUUCGGCUUAGUCUCUCCUGAAGUGCCGUUGAAGACGACGACGUUGAUAGGCCGGGUGUGUAAGCGCUGUGAGGCGUUGAGCUAACCGGUACUAAUUGCACGUGAGGCUUGAUCGCAUAACC
rnacentral:rRNA from 1 species